rnacentral:rRNA from 1 species
AACGAACGCUGGCGGCGUGGAUUAGGCAUGCAAGUCGAACGGAACUUCUAGCUUUUUCGGAAGUUUAGUGGCGAAAGGGUGAGUAACACGUGACUAACCUGCCCUUGGGCUCGGGAUAACUUGCCGAAAGGCGAGCUAAUACCGGAUACGUUCUUGUUUCUUAACUGGGACAAGAAGAAAGAUGGGGACUUCUUCGGAAGCCUGUCACCUUUGGAUGGGGUCGCGGCCUAUCAGCUAGUUGGUGAGGUAACGGCUCACCAAGGCUAAGACGGGUAGCUGGUCUGAGAGGAUGGUCAGCCACACUGGGACUGAGACACUGCCCAGACACCUACGGUGGCUGCAGUCGAGAAUCUUUCGCAAUGGGGGCAACCCUGACGAAGCGACGCCGCGUGUAGGAUGAAGGCCUGGUUGUAAACUACUGUCAGCUGGAGAAAGGUUCCGGUUAAGUAACCAGAAACCAUGACGGUACCAGCAGA